GGCGAUUCCUCGGGGUGGCGCUUGCGCCUGAGACAGCCCGAGCCUGGCCGAGCACGACGGCCGGGUUCCUGCUGGACCCGUUGAACCUGAUCCGGUUAAUGCCGGCGUAGGGAAGGAACGGAGAACCACC
rnacentral:ncRNA from 1 species